ACAGAAAAUAGCUAUUGUGAAAUAACGUCCAGAAAGAGGGAAGCAGCAAGGAAUGUGGUGUUUGUGUGCCGCAAGCAAGCAAGCGAAGAAGGUCUUCUGAGCGGUUUCUGUGAGGGGUGGGGACAGCGCAGGAGUGACUCACGCUGCCGAUCUGGAAGUUUCUUGAUGACUGAGUGGCUGGAAAUGAGUUGCAGGCAGAGCACAACGCCAUGGCAUGAAAUAAAUUGGAGAAAUGCACAGGAAAGAAUCGCUACAGAAGGCUCUGCUGCUAUACCCUGGAAGGUCCACAUCCCAGAUCCACGUUACUGACAUCACGGCUUAUACAUUAGGAUAACGUCAGAGAACUUAAAAUUGAGGAGCAUCCUUCCCACCAGAUAGAACAGCACAUUGUGCCUGCUUCUAUGAAUAAAAUCCCCCACUUGGAAGAGAGAGAGAGGAGAAAGCAAAAACAAAAAGUAAAAAAAGAGGUGAGAGGCAGAUGCCAAUAGAUAAAUGGCUACAGUUUAAUUUCGUCUCUUGGCUCAGCCAGGGGCAAGCAGCUGGCCCUUUCAUUUGACAUGGUUUAUCCUGAAGAGUAUAUAGUAUGCCUUCCUUCUCAAAG